rnacentral:rRNA from 1 species
UAAAUAAAAUUUACUUUUUUUAAAUUUUAUAUUUAAUUUAUUUCAAAAUUCUAUUACUAUACUAAUUCUUUAUAAAUUAUGUAAUUUUUUCUUUAAAAAUACUAAAAUAUUAAAUUUUUAAAAUUAUUUUUAUUAAAUAUUUAUUAUUAAUUUUUUAAUUAAUUAU